rnacentral:rRNA from 1 species
CCUACGGGUGGCAGCAGUGAGGAAUAUUGGUCAAUGGACGGGAGUCUGAACCAGCCAUGCCGCGUGCAGGAUGACGGCCCUAUGGGUUGUAAACUGCUUUUGUACGGGAAUAAUAGUUCUUACGUGUAGGGUUUUGAAUGUAUCGUAUGAAUAAGGAUCGGCUAACUCCGUGCCAGCAGCCGCGGUAAUACGGAGGAUUCGAGCGUUAUCCGGAUUUAUUGGGUUUAAAGGGUGCGUAGGCGGUAGGAUAAGUUAGAGGUCAAAUCUUGGGGCUUAACCCCGUGACUGCCUCUGAUACUAUUAGGCUAGAGAGCGGAUGCGGAAGGCGGAAUGAGUAGUGUAGCGGUGAAAUGCUUAGAUAUUAGGCAGAACACCAGUGGCGCAGGCAGCUUGCUAAACCGCAUCUGACGCUGAGGCACGAAAGCGUGGGGAGCGAACAGGAUUAGAUACCCCGGUAGUC